AGGGUUUGAUCAUGGCUCAGGAUGAACGCUAGCUACAGGCUUAACACAUGCAAGUCGAGGGGUAGCAGGGUAGCAAUACCGCUGACGACCGGCGCACGGGUGAGUAACACGUAUCCAACCUACCGUCUACUCGGGGAUAGCCUUUCGAAAGAAAGAUUAAUACCCGAUAGUAUAAAGAGUUCGCAUGUUCUCUUUAUUAAAGGAUUCCGGUAAACGAUGGGGAUGCGUUCCAUUAGAUUGUUGGCGGGGUAACGGCCCACCAAGUCUUCGAUGGAUAGGGGUUCUGAGAGGAAGGUCCCCCACAUUGGAACUGAGACACGGUCCAAACUCCUACGGGAGGCAGCAGUGAGGAAUAUUGGUCAAUGGGCGAGAGCCUGAACCAGCCAAGUAGCGUGAAGGAUGACUGCCCUAUGGGUUGUAAACUUCUUUUAUAAGGGAAUAAAGUGGAGAACGUGUUCUCCUUUGUAUGUACCUUACGAAUAAGGAUCGGCUAACUCCGUGCCAGCAGCCGCGGUAAUACGGAGGAUCCGAGCGUUAUCCGGAU
rnacentral:rRNA from 1 species